rnacentral:rRNA from 1 species
CUGAAUCAGUGUGUGUGUUAGUGGAAGCGUCUGGAAAGGCGCGCGAUACAGGGUGACAGCCCCGUACACAAAAAUGCACAUGCUGUGAGCUCGAUGAGUAGGGCGGGACACGUGGUAUCCUGUCUGAAUAUGGGGGGACCAUCCUCCAAGGCUAAAUACUCCUGACUGACCGAUAGUGAACCAGUACCGUGAGGGAAAGGCGAAAAGAACCCCGGCGAGGGGAGUGAAAAAGAACCUGAAACCGUGUACGUACAAGCAGUGGGAGCACGCUUAGGCGUGUGACUGCGUACCUUUUGUAUAAUGGGUCAGCGACUUAUAUUCUGUAGCAAGGUUAACCGAAUAGGGGAGCCGAAGGGAAACCGAGUCUUAACUGGGCGUUAAGUUGCAGGGUAUAGACCCGAAACCCGGUGAUCUAGCCAUGGGCAGGUUGAAGGUUGGGUAACACUAACUGGAGGACCGAACCGACUAAUGUUGAAAAAUUAGCGGAUGACUUGUGGCUGGGGGUGAAAGGCCAAUCAAACCGGGAGAUAGCUGGUUCUCCCCGAAAGCUAUUUAGGUAGCGCCUCGUGAAUUCAUCUCCGGGGGUAGAGCACUGUUUCGGCAAGGGGGUCAUCCCGACUUACCAACCCGAUGCAAACUGCGAAUACCGGAGAAUGUUAUCACGGGAGACACACGGCGGGUGCUAACGUCCGUCGUGAAGAGGGAAACAACCCAGACCGCCAGCUAAGGUCCCAAAGUCAUGGUUAAGUGGGAAACGAUGUGGGAAGGCCCAGACAGCCAGGAUGUUGGCUUAGAAGCAGCCAUCAUUUAAAGAAAGCGUAAUAGCUCACUGGUCGAGUCGGCCUGCGCGGAAGAUGUAACGGGGCUAAACCAUGCACCGAAGCUGCGGCAGCGACGCUUAUGCGUUGUUGGGUAGGGGAGCGUUCUGUAAGCCUGUGAAGGUGUGCUGUGAGGCAUGCUGGAGGUAUCAGAAGUGCGAAUGCUGACAUAAGUAACGAUAAAGCGGGUGAAAAGCCCGCUCGCCGGAAGACCAAGGGUUCCUGUCCAACGUUAAUCGGGGCAGGGUGAGUCGACCCCUAAGGCGAGGCCGAAAGGCGUAGUCGAUGGGAAACAGGUUAAUAUUCCUGUACUUGGUGUUACUGCGAAGGGGGGACGGAGAAGGCUAUGUUGGCCGGGCGACGGUUGUCCCGGUUUAAGCGUGUAGGCUGGUUUUCCAGGCAAAUCCGGAAAAUCAAGGCUGAGGCGUGAUGACGAGGCACUACGGUGCUGAAGCAACAAAUGCCCUGCUUCCAGGAAAAGCCUCUAAGCAUCAGGUAACAUCAAAUCGUACCCCAAACCGACACAGGUGGUCAGGUAGAGAAUACCAAGGCGCUUGAGAGAACUCGGGUGAAGGAACUAGGCAAAAUGGUGCCGUAACUUCGGGAGAAGGCACGCUGAUAUGUAGGUGAAGUCCCUCGCGGAUGGAGCUGAAAUCAGUCGAAGAUACCAGCUGGCUGCAACUGUUUAUUAAAAACACAGCACUGUGCAAACACGAAAGUGGACGUAUACGGUGUGACGCCUGCCCGGUGCCGGAAGGUUAAUUGAUGGGGUCAGCGCAAGCGAAGCUCUUGAUCGAAGCCCCGGUAAACGGCGGCCGUAACUAUAACGGUCCUAAGGUAGCGAAAUUCCUUGUCGGGUAAGUUCCGACCUGCACGAAUGGCGUAAUGAUGGCCAGGCUGUCUCCACCCGAGACUCAGUGAAAUUGAACUCGCUGUGAAGAUGCAGUGUACCCGCGGCAAGACGGAAAGACCCCGUGAACCUUUACUAUAGCUUGACACUGAACAUUGAGCCUUGAUGUGUAGGAUAGGUGGGAGGCUUAGAAGUGUGGACGCCAGUCUGCAUGGAGCCGACCUUGAAAUACCACCCUUUAAUGUUUGAUGUUCUAACGUUGACCCGUAAUCCGGGUUGCGGACAGUGUCUGGUGGGUAGUUUGACUGGGGCGGUCUCCUCCUAAAGAGUAACGGAGGAGCACGAAGGUUGGCUAAUCCUGGUCGGACAUCAGGAGGUUAGUGCAAUGGCAUAAGCCAGCUUGACUGCGAGCGUGACGGCGCGAGCAGGUGCGAAAGCAGGUCAUAGUGAUCCGGUGGUUCUGAAUGGAAGGGCCAUCGCUCAACGGAUAAAAGGUACUCCGGGGAUAACAGGCUGAUACCGCCCAAGAGUUCAUAUCGACGGCGGUGUUUGGCACCUCGAUGUCGGCUCAUCACAUCCUGGGGCUGAAGUAGGUCCCAAGGGUAUGGCUGUUCGCCAUUUAAAGUGGUACGCGAGCUGGGUUUAGAACGUCGUGAGACAGUUCGGUCCCUAUCUGCCGUGGGCGCUGGAGAACUGAGGGGGGCUGCUCCUAGUACGAGAGGACCGGAGUGGACGCAUCACUGGUGUUCGGGUUGUCAUGCCAAUGGCACUGCCCGGUAGCUAAAUGCGGAAGAGAUAAGUGCUGAAAGCAUCUAAGCACGAAACUUGCC